AAUAGAUACCCUGGUAGUCCACGCCGUAAACGAUGAGUGCUAAGUGUUAGAGGGUUUCCGCCCUUUAGUGCUGCAGCAAACGCAUUAAGCACUCCGCCUGGGGAGUACGGCCGCAAGGCUGAAACUCAAAGGAAUUGACGGGGGCCCGCACAAGCGGUGGAGCAUGUGGUUUAAUUCGAAGCAACGCGAAGAACCUUACCAGGUCUUGACAUCUCCUGCCAACCCUAGAGAUAGGGCGUUCCCCUUCGGGGGACAGGAUGACAGGUGGUGCAUGGUUGUCGUCAGCUCGUGUCGUGAGAUGUUGGGUUAAGUCCCGCAACGAGCGCAACCCUUGAUCUUAGUUGCCAGCAUUCAGUUGGGCACUCUAAGGUGACUGCCGGUGACAAACCGGAGGAAGGUGGGGAUGACGUCAAAUCAUCAUGCCCCUUAUGACCUGGGCUACACACGUGCUACAAUGGAUGGUACAAAGGGCUGCGAGACCGCGAGGUUAAGCCAAUCCCAUAAAACCAUUCUCAGUUCGGAUUGCAGG
rnacentral:rRNA from 1 species